GACCCCUGGAUGGAAAAUGGAUGGAUGGAUGGAAGAACAAUUAAUCUGUUGACUGUUGUGUUAUGUCACUUUUGUUAAACUAAGAUAUUAUUUGUCAAACCUUUGUACAAGUUUAAAACGAUCGCAAUGCUAAUUUCUGUUAGCUUAUCAAUGUGGUCGUCCAUUCUAUGUUAGCAUUAAGCUAGUGGCGCAAAAGCCAAAUUUUUUCCUGUAUGGUUGUAUUGUUUUUUUUUAGGUUUACACCAAACUGUAUUGUUGAUUGAACUAAGGCUGAAACGACGCGUCGACGUAGUCAACGUCAUCGAUGACGUAAAUACGUCAAUGUUGUUUUUGUGCGUCGACGCGUCGCAUAUUUACGUCACACUACCGUCAUGGCGGAGCGCAAAGCAGACGAUGCGAGCGAGGGGAAAAAAGUACGCCAAAAGUCGUCAAAAGUGUGGGGGUAUUUCAAUAAACGGCCUACUAAUGUUGUUGUAUGCACACUGUGUCGAGCGGAGGUGGUCUAUCAUAGCAGCACAACGGCUAUGAAGGAACAUUUGAAAAGAAAACACCCGACAGCGUUCUUGCCAUCACCAUCAACUAUUCUAACGUCUGCAGAGGAACUGUGGAGAGACGGCGCCGAGGAGCUGACAGCAGGGUCGGACAAAUGCCGGUCCUACCCGAGAUGGCGGCCAGGAAGCGGGGCGUGCGGCGGAGAGAAGAGGCGGGACGCACUCAGAGCGACCCACCAGCCAGCCAAGUCAGGUCCGUACACCACACACCUGCGCUCAAUCUGCUCAUCUGUUGCUGCAGCACAAAAGAGGGGAAGGAGGAAUGAUCGGGGAGAAGUAGGUGAGGGAACAACGGCAAGCAGACAACGAGCACGACGAUCGAGGACAAGAGCGAGAUGACGAACCCCCGCAGCGGACGCAAACGCCGGAAGCCGAAAGGCGUGCAGCGAUGGCAAGCAGGAAAUGCCCGCGCACUGAAAAGUGACGUGACCGAAUGGCCAGAAGAAGAUAGAAGGUUUAUUGAAAUAAUAAAUCCAAGUCAAACCUGCUAUGAUGCAUCUUGUGUCCAGUGUCACGGCAAGCCACACGGUGACGGCCGCAGGAAGUCCGCCACAGGAACAUUAUCACCAGACCUAUUUUUACUGCAACUUGCCAUGAAGAAAGAUGCGGGAGCUGAAAGCUCUAUGGAGCUGGUCGGGUGUAUGGAGAACCAGAAUGAUUGAAGACUCCGAUGGAAGCUCGUCGUAGGAUGACUGAGAGAAAUUCAUAGUGGAUAAUAUCCAUACACAACCUCAAUUGUUUUUCAUCUUUAAUUUGAAGGACUGUUUACUUAUCUGAAAAAUUCAAAGGAAACUGCACUUUUUUAAAAUGUCACCAAUCAUUUACAAUUCUUAUGUAAAAUAUAUGUUUUUAAUUGUUAUGAAUUCUAAUUAGUAAAUAAACGUGAGCAAAAAUCAGCUAACAUUGGAGUCAAUGAGAGCUCCUCUAUUAGACCCACAAAGUCCUCCAAAUAACCAUCCAAAAACUGCCAACAAUACUACAUUUACAUUUUGUGACCUGAAUAAUAACCAAGUAUUAGUGAUAUUGUUAUUAUAAGCGCAGACGUUAAGGACCUACUUUUAGCGGCGCAUUUAUCACAGAAGUAACUAGCUUAUGCUGCUAUUUUGACAUACUGAGCUGCUUUCUCGCCUAUAAGAUGGUGAAUAAUUCUAGAUUAUAAAUCAUGCUUCUCACUUAUGUAAUAGUAGGUUGUGGACAUAAACCAGAGAACUUGGUCAACUUUUAUAAACACAGGAAAUAUGUUCCUGGACACAUGAAGACUUUGAAUAUGACCAAUGUAUGAUCCUGUAACUACUUGGUAUCGGAUUGAUACCCACAUUUGUGGUAUCAUCAGAACAAAAGUAAAGUAUCAAACAACAGAAGAAUAAGUGAUUAUUACAUUUCAACAGAAGUGUGGACAGAACAUGUUAAAAGAGAAAAUAAGCAGAUAUUAACAGUAAAUGAACAAGUAGAUUAAUAAUUCAUUUUUACAGUUUGUCCUUAAUAAUGUUGACAAAAUAAUAGGUGUAUAAAUGACACAAUAUUUUGCUGCGUACGUCAGCAGACUAAUUAAGAGUCUUUGUUUGUUUACUUACUAUUAAAAGACAAGUUGUCUAGUAGGUUCACUCUUUUAUUUAAGGACUUAGCUGCAAUAACACACAUAUGUUUGAUGUACCCUAAGUUUUCUUUAUUACAAUAAAGCCAAUA